rfam:Stegodyphus mimosarum contig78330, whole genome shotgun sequence.
GCCUUCGUGGUGUAACGGUAGCACAUUCGGCCCGUAUUCGAGAGUCCAGGUUCGAGCCCCGGCGAGAGCA